UACGGGGGGGGCAAGCGUUGUUCGGAAUUACUGGGCGUAAAGGGCUCGUAGGCGGCCAACUAAGUCAGACGUGAAAUCCCUCGGCUUAACCGGGGAACUGCGUCUGAUACUGGAUGGCUUGAGUUCGGGAGAGGGAUGCGGAAUUCCAGGUGUAGCGGUGAAAUGCGUAGAGAUCGGUAGGAACACCAGUGGCGAAGGCGGUCUCUUGGCCCACUCUUGACGCUGAGGCGCGAAAGCUGGGGGAGCGAACGGG
rnacentral:rRNA from 1 species